rnacentral:rRNA from 1 species
UUGAAGAGUUUGAUCCUGGCUCAGAUUGAACGCUGGCGGCAUGGCUAAAACAUGCAAGUCGAACGACCCCUGCGGGGGGAGUGGCGAAAGGGCGAGGAAUACGAUCGUACGUACCCCGAGGUGGGGGAUAGCGUUGGGAAACCGGCGGUAAUACCCCAUGUCCUCUACGGAGAAAAGGUUUACCGCCUUGGGAGCGGCGAUCGUCCUAUCAGGUUGUUGGUGAGGUAAAGGCUCACCAAGCCGAAGACGGGUAGCGGGUGUGAGAGCAUGACCCGCCGCAUCGGGACUGAGACACUGCCCGGACUCCUACGGGAGGCUGCAGUAACGAAUCUUCCGCAAUGGACGAAAGUCUGACGGAGCAAUGCCGCGUGUGGGAUGAAGCGCCUUCGGUGUGUAAACCACUGUCAGGGACUAGGAACCAUGACCAGUCCCAAAGGAAGGGCCGGCUAAUUCAGUGCCAGCAGCCGCGGUAAUACUGAAGGCCCGAGCGUUAAUCGGAAUCACUGGGCUUAAAGGGUACGCAGGCGGGCCUGUAGGUACUUUGUGAAAUCCCACGGCUUAACCGUGGAACUGCAGAGUAAACCACAGGUCUUGAGACAUGUAGGGGUCAGCGGAACGAUGUGUGGAGCGGUGAAAUGCGUAGAUAUCAUGAGGAAUACCGGUGGCGAAGGCGGUUCUCUGGUCCACAACUGACGCUGAGGUACGAAAGCUAGGGUAGCGAACGGGAUUAGAUACCCCGGUAGUCCUAGCCGUAAACGAUGGGUACUAGCUUGGGGGAUCCCUGUGUUCUUCCAGGUGAAGCAAAAGUGAUAAGUACCCCGCCUGGGGAGUAUGGUCGCAAGGCUGAAACUCAAAGGAAUUGACGGGGGCUCACACAAGCGGUGGAGCAUGUUGCUUAAUUCGAGGCAACGCGAAGAACCUUACCUGG